AUACGUAGGGGGCGAGCGUUGUCCGGAAUUACUGGGCGUAAAGGGUGCGUAGGCGGCAUGGCAAGUUGGAUGUGAAAUACCCGGGCUUAACUUGGGGGCUGCAUCCAAAACUGCUGAGCUUGAGUGCGGGAGAGGAAAGCGGAAUUCCUAGUGUAGCGGUAAAAUGCGUAGAUAUUAGGAGGAACACCGGUGGCGAAGGCGGCUUUCUGGACCGUAACUGACGCUGAGGCACGAAAGUGUGGGGAGCAAACAGGAUUAGAUACCCUGGUAGUCCACACCGUAAACGAUGAAUACUAGGUGUAGGGGGUAUAAACUCCCUCUGUGCCGCAGCAAACGCAAUAAGUAUUCCGCCUGGGGAGUACGGCCGCAAGGUUGAAACUUAAAGGAAUUGACGGGG
rnacentral:rRNA from 1 species